rnacentral:rRNA from 1 species
UACAGAGGGUGCAAACGUUGUUCGGAAUCACUGGGCGUAAAGCGCGUGUAGGCGGCCGAUUGUGUCGAGUGUGAAAGCCCUCGGCUUAACCGAGGAAGUGCGCUCGAAACUGGUCGACUUGAGUACCGGAGAGGGGGGUGGAAUUCCCGGUGUAGCGGUGGAAUGCGUAGAGAUCGGGAAGAACAUCGGUGGCGAAGGCGGCCUGCUGGGCUGUUGCUGACACUGAGGCGCGACAGCGUGGGGAGCAAACAGG